UACGGGGGGGGCAAGCGUUGUUCGGAAUUACUGGGCGUAAAGGGCUCGUAGGUGGCCAACUAAGUCAGACGUGAAAUCCCUCGGCUUAACCGGGGAACUGCGUCUGAUACUGGAUGGCUUGAGUUUGGGAGAGGGAUGCGGAAUUCCAGGUGUAGCGGUGAAAUGCGUAGAUAUCUGGAGGAACACCGGUGGCGAAGGCGGCAUCCUGGACCGAUACUGACACUGAGGAGCGAAAGCCAGGGGAGCAAACGGG
rnacentral:rRNA from 1 species